ensembl:miRNA
GCAGGUGCCUGGGCUCAACCUCCUGUGCCUACUGAGCUGAUAACAGUUAGAUUUUAAACAAAUACUGGCUCAGUUCAGCAGGAACCGGAGUUAGGCCCUCUCGAGAC